AACGAACGCUGGCGGCAUGCCUAACACAUGCAAGUCGAACGAGACCUUCGGGUCUAGUGGCGCACAGGUGCGUAACGCGUGGGAACCUGCCCUUAGGUUCGGAAUAACUCCCCGUAAGGGGUGCUAAUACCGGAUAAUGUCUUCGGACCAAAGAUUCAUCGCCUUUGGAUGGGCCCGCGUUGGUUUAGCUAGUUGGUAGGGUAAAAGCCUACCAAGGCGACGAUCCAUAGCUGGUCUGAGAGGAUGAGCAGCCACACUGGGAGUGAGACACGGCCCAGACUCCUGCGGGAGGCAGCAGUGGGGAAUAUUGGACAAUGGGCGAAAGCCUGAUCCAGCAAUGCCGCGUGAGUGAUGAAGGCCUUAGGGUUGUAAAGCUCUUUUACCCGGGAUGAUAAUGACAGUACCGGGAGAAUAAGCUCCGGCUAACUCCGUG
rnacentral:rRNA from 1 species